rnacentral:lncRNA from 1 species
UCCAGAAUCGGAUUCAUUUAGUAAAGCACUCCAAGCCGAAUACAACAAUGAGACUCUCUCACUGGUGAUGGUUUCUUCAUUUCUAAGCGAAUCGACUUCCACUCUCUCUGUUACCUUCGGCUUAGAACUGCAGUCUGUGCAUGUAAACAUAUCUUUGUUUCAGCACCACAGACUAACCUUUCACAAAUUGUUUUAGAUUUUGUAAUACCAAUGACUUAAAACACUGAUUGCGUGCUUCCGAACUUAACUACCAGAACUAGGUUCUGUUUGAGGCAUAACACUACAGAAAAUACAACUACCUAACUAAUUAACUACAGUCAAAGUUGAAAUUGAAAUGAUCCAAAUGUUAAUAAAAAUAAGUUAAUCCCUCGUCUUUUGAAUGCGCUUUUUAAUACUUCCCAUCCUGUUCUCUGCUCAUUCAAGUGUUUCUGAAGUACCUAAUUCAUUAAGUUUAAGUGUUUAACAGGUAGUUCACUUCCCUAAAUGUAUAAUUCACUUCAUUGUUCCCUUUCCAAGUUUCCUUUGAUUUAAAGCAGAGGCAAGUAGGAAAAACAAAAGCAGAAAUAAACAUAGUCCACUGAAAAUAUUGACAACUAUUAAGAAUAUAGACAAGGAGAAAAUUUCACUCACUGAUGAACUCUGAGCUAGAAUUCCCAGCUGAAGCACCCCAAGCAAUGGUCGAAAACCCAAACCCACCAAACUCGAAAGUACCAAAUGAAGUGAGAGCAGCCAUAAACAAAGAAGUAAGACAGAUUCCACAGAGCAAACCAACCACACAAAUUUGACAAGGAAAUGAACUCCCCAUUUGCAAAGCCUUCUGUGAAACCACUCUCUCUAUAGACUUCUGAUUUAAUGGUUCCAUUAUAACAACAACAAUCCUGCUUCUCCUCUUUACUUUCUCCAAAAUCAAAGAACCCAACAGAUCAUUAGAUACCCUGAACCCUUUUAUCACCAAAAUUCCAUGACACCUCUCACCUAACUCAUAACUUCCAUCACAUGAAGCAAUUCAACUUCCUUUUACAAAGCUUUCUACUUUUGUUGCAAGUGAUUUUCACACGCAGAAAAGCAUGAGAAAUAGGCUUACUUACUUGCUCCGAAAUCCAAACUACCAAAAGAAGGAACAAGAUCAGAAAACUCUCUCGAUCUCAAGCGUCGAUUUCACCUUUAAACUCUACUGGUCCACCUCCAUCUUCCUUCCAACUGCAAAAGUAAAUGAACUUUCCUAUCAGAAAAUGCAAAACUCAUGCCCCAUAAACUUCCAAUACCACUCAAAAACACCAACUUCCACUACAAAACCUUCAAAUUGUUCAACUUUCUUGCAGAAACAAUGAAACAAACACAGACCCUAUUAUCAUAACUGAUUAACAGAAAGAAAUUCAAAACCUUUGAGAUACAGGUUAAGCAAGAACCAAACUUUACAGACACCCAUUUUGCACUGUGAGGUAAAAAAACCAAAAUAGGAAUCCAAGUGGAGAUAGUGGAGAAGCAAAAGAACAAAAAUACUAGACAGAGAGCCCCAUGCAGAGAGACACAUAGCACAAAAGAACAAAGCAAAACCCAAAAAGCAGGCAACUAUGUGAGUACCUUGAAGAACUUCAAGUUGUCAGCACCAGAAGCUCAACUGGGUAAUCUCAGCAAAUCCAAGAAAGGACCAUGCUUUGAUUGCUUCACGGGUUCUACAGAGAAAGAAGAGAGAGUGAUGUGGGUUUAGUUAGUGGGUACCAUUUUUGACAUGUUCAAGAAGAAACAGGACAUUUCAACCUGUU